GUGCUAAGGCAACGGUGAUGAAAGUCGAG
rnacentral:sRNA from 1 species